CUCCGAUCCCUGCAUUAGCCUUGAGGGAGGGAGGACAGAGCUUUACUUAGCUAUGAGACCUACAGGUUGUUGGUAGGAAGUUGGUUGGGAAGCCUGAGUCCUUAGUGAAGUGUAGGUCUCCCCAUUAAUGGCUGCCCCACCUUGGGAUGCCAUUGCUUUGAGAGCAUCUUUAUCACAGAAGGUGUGCUUGCAGCUGUACCUCUGCACCUCCUUUGAGAGAAACUCCUGAGAAAAACAGUGUCCCCACAGGAGGGAAUCACAGGCAUCAUCUUCCUUAUAACUACCUAGAAUCUGCCCAAGCUUGCCCAGAAAUUAAGAAAUGUGGGCCCAGGGCCAUAAUUCCUUCAUUCAGCCUGGUUAUUUCUGGAUAUUAGCUGAAAGGCAAUGGAGUGCCAUGGAGCAGAGUUACCAGCCUGGGUGUUCCGACAUGCUGGGUUGCAGGGCAGCCCAGGCACAGGUCUGGGUCUGAGCAGGCACGUACCUGAGGGCUUUGCAUCCCUCUGCCAAAGGUGAAGGCCGCGUGGUGGUACUUCAGGUAUGUGUCAGGGCCAGAAAAUGCAGGUGGGCAUGAGAUAACACCACUGAUAGCAUUGGCCUACGAGUGAUGUGUGAAUAAAUGGAUUAUGAAAGGUAGGAAGAGAUUUCCUGACCAUCCAACAAUGCUCGCAAUGGAAGAGCUGAGGAUAGAAACAGACCUGGUGCGAUGUAUAAAAUGUGUUGCAAAAGGAUUUGUUACAGAGCAGAUGCUGGGGCUCAGAGACACAGGGUGUUUUCAAUCCCUUUUAGUAUCCCAUGAGAAAGUUAAAUGAUACGGGUGAAGAACACACAGUGAGCUGAGGAACAGCAUAAUUAAAAUGAUACACUGAAAACAAAACAGUCUUAUCUUCAGGUAGGAGGACACGAUCGCAAACAAGCGAAGCAGUGAGAGAUAAGAGUUCCUGUUCCUGCCGCUAUGAAAAUGGUUUAAAUUCAGGUUUUUUUCACACCUUUUAGAGAUGUGCACAGCCUGCUCUUUGAACUGUGGUUUGGCAAGACUUUGAUCUUAAAUGAUCUCGGGGAGAAUAGGUGUCAAACUGAUAAAAAUGUGCUUUCAAGUUGUUUGCCCAGACCAUGAUUGCACCGGGGCGGCCUUCAGACCUGGAAGCACCACUCCUAAAGGUAAGACCAACCGCAGCUUUCUGUGUCGGCUUGCUUUUUCCCUACAUUUCAGAACCAUCCCGUGGUCCUUUGUAUGUGGUCACCGAUAUAACGCACCUCAAAGAUGCUCCUUUUGGAAAGAACUGAGGUACCCAGAAGAAAUGCAUUCCCUCGGGCCCAGUCACUGUUGCAGAGAGAGCAGCUCAGUGCUGCCCUCCACUCCCUGUCAGGAGCUGUAUGGCCAUGAGCCCUCCCCUCAGCCCCUCUGCUUUGUGCCCAGCAAACCCAGGGGCUCAGCGCCCCUCAUCCAUCUUGUCCUCCAGACCCUUCACCAUCUCCGUAUGUUCAAACUUAGCUCAUAUUUUAGUGUUCUUCUCACUCUAUCUUUCCUAUCAAGCAUUUUUCUCCCUUCCCCGUAACUCUUAUGUUGACAGGGGGAGUGGUAGCACCACACACGAUUAAAUAUAUUGAAUUCUUCUCUUCCCAGUGUGUGAGUUGGAAUCAGAUCUUCAGAGACUUUUUAGCACUAUUUGCAGAACUCUGCCCAUUUCUACCUGUAGCAUUGAGAACUCCAAGCAAGGCAAGGAAAAUUUCCUCUCUGCUGGUUGAAAUUGGGGCUCUUAGAGUGGUCUACAGAUGCUCAGGCUUAAGAAAAUGCUUAUAUUUGAAACAGUAGCAGAUCCAGCUGCUUUGUGUCCGUGCACUUUGGCUUCCCACAAGUUUUUCUAGCAGAAAAAGCUUGGGUGGGUUACUGGGAAGUGUCAGGCUUGCUAAAUACCUUGCUGGAGCCCUCUGACAGCAGCUGUUAGCUACUGACAGCAAGAGAAGCAUUGCCAAAGUGCUGAGCUGCUCUGAGGGGAUGUGCAGGGUUAGAUUACCUUAUUGCUGCGUCACAAGGAAUGGACUGCUCACUUUAUUUUGCAUAUCCUGAACUGCAGCACCCCAGAACUUCCUUCUUCCAGGACGCCUCAUGCUGUCACUGCAAAACCGGCCCAAAAAGUGAGUGUCAUGGGGGAAAUAAAAACCGUUCUCACGAUGAGUCUGAAUACUUUGAUUUCAGGAAAACACCUCUGUGUCUGUCUGGAAGUGAUCACAGAUUUUCUAAAACGUCUCCAAAGAGGGAACAAUACCUCACUGCACUGCUUGAUUGCAUCUCCUCAGAGCUGUUUCCAUUGGCAUGCACAUGCACCUUUCUACUUACAGAGCACACAUCAUUUUUUCCAUCCCUUGUUUGGGAAGUGCUCAUCCUUUGGUCAGUGCAGAGUGGCUCGCUUCUCCUGUAGGCUGCCAAUGGUUGCAGUGUGUUGUGAUAUGGAAAGUGUUGUUUUUACGUUAUCCCGACACUAAAGAGUUAGGCUGGGGAGAAUUUCCUUAAUUUAAAAAACAGCAUUUGCUUCCAAGUGUUUAAGAUGAAAGCUUACAGCACAGAGUGGUUGAUCACCCAGUAGGUGAACACAGCUCAUAGAACUAUAGAAUAUCCUGCGUUGGAAGUGACCCAUAGGGGUCAUCAGGCCCAACUUCCGUCUCCUACCUCAGUAACGUAUAAAGUUACAAUUUAUGAAAUACAUAUUUCUGCCUGGAUUUUGGACAGCCUUAGAUGUUUUAAUAUGCUAAGCGGAGCAGUGCUGGUUGCAUACUGCUAUGUGAGACCAAGAGAGAGGUUGAAGCUCCUGUAAUUAACCGAGCACUCAGAGCACUAAUGAGCUUCAAGCAGCCACGGAGGAGCACUAAGUAGACACUUUCCACAGCACCCAGAGGGGACGCACCAAAGGUGCAUGACUUGAUCCUGCAGCAGAUGCAAGCCACAACCUGCUGUACCAGUAGUGUUGUGACAACCUGGGCUACACUGCUUUUGGAUCCAAGUGAGUGGGUAACCAGCACCAGGUCCUGCCCAGCGCUGUGAGUCAUGUUUUACACCCACAAAAAUGAUUUGUUCCCUCCCUGGCCCACUGGCCUUCCUUUGUUAGUGACUAAUGGUGGAUGCCUAGAGGAGAGCACAAGAACAGGCUGAGCACGUAACAACACUUCACUGCAAUAUUUUCCCAGCCUGGCACUCAAAGUCAGAGGCUCCUAGAUCUAGAAAUGUCGUUUUUUGGUUGCUUAAUUCUUGUUUGCACUGAUUUCCAUUUUCCUAGGAAAUUGCUUAAUGCACACAAUGUCCCAAGGCAAGGAAUCUGCUGGGAGAAGAGAGAUUGCAUUUGUUUUAAACCUCUCCCUUUGGCUUUCUCCCUUCCUCCGUCCUUUCAUUAGAAGAGACCUGGAACUCCACAUUCUCAUUCACCUUUUCCACACUACACCUGAUUUUCCCAUGAAGCUCAAUGUGAGCUCAUUGCCAUGGUGGUGUCUCCAGAGUGUGGUCAUAGAACCAUAGAAUGGCUUGGGUUGGAAGGGACCUUAAAGAUCAUGUAGUUCCAACCCCCUGCCAUAGGCUGGUUGCCACCCACCAGCUCAGGCUGCCCAGGGCCCCCUCCAACCUGGCCUUGAGCACCUCCAGGGAUGGGGCAUCCACAGCUCUCUGGGCAGCAGUGCCAAGGCCUCAACUCUCUCUGAGGAAAGGGUUUUCUCAUUCCCACACCUUCCCCUUCCUUCCCACCCAUGUCAUCUAGCAGUCCCUAGUGGCUGAUGGGGUGCAUGUCCCUGAUUUCUGCAGCACUGCAUGUGGCACCGCUUUUCCCCUUCCAACCUCAUUUUGUCCCCUAUCCAGAUGGUAAUUCCCAGAUGUGGAAAUCAGGGCUGUGAUCAUCCCUAUUCUCCUCAGCACAUUUCAUUCAGGGAAGGCUGCAUUCAAGCAUUUGCUUACUGGGUUUUAGGGUCACCAGCUUCAUCUGGGAAAUCUGACACAGCUGGGCAGUUAGUCAUGAGGAAAUAUCAGUGAUGGUAGGGGAGGAUUUGCAGAGAUGGGAGGGUGCAGGAGAUCAAACGAUUCUUAAAGUGCAAAGUCAGUGCUGGCCCAUUGCCUAGCUGGAUCCAACCCCCAAAAGCUUGUGUCAGAAUCUCUCAUGUUUCAGAGCUCCGCAGCUCUGGUUUAGAUCCCUCUCCACUUUGAUUACGAUUUUCAUAGAAUGAUGAAGGUUGGAAAAGACCCAUAAAAGCAGCACGUUCAGCCAUCAUGUUUUGCCCAACCAGGCUUCCUUCCUAGCACAGAAACAAGUUUGAGCAACAGGAUCUCUGCUUGCAGUGCCUCUGCUCCUGUAACAGCCCUGCUGUGGUCAGCAGGAGCAUUUUUGCGUGCACCUGAGCCCAACGUCUCUUCUUUCUCAGCAGAAUUCAGGUGUGGUGGUGGUGAUUUUUUAAUCAACGCAAUGACUUCCCUUGGAAACACAGAUUUUUCUAUCAUGAAUGCUUAGGAAAAUAUUAUUCAGCUAAUGUGUAAUGCAACACUCAGGUUGCAUUAGGUGAUGGGAUGUGAUAGAACACGAUGGUAAUGAGUCACCUCAUAUCAUGUUUUAUUGUGAUGUGUCAGCUGAGAAAGCUGAAGAGCUAAAGAUGUUUUUACCAGAACAAUUAUGAAACAACUGCUGGUUCAUGCAGAGAUUACUAAGUUUUUCCUAGGCUAGUUAGCUGAUAGGUUUAGGUCCGUGGUUUAGCAAUGUUUUGUUAAAGUUGCUAACAAUGAGUUGCUUCAGAACCUAUUUUCCACCCAGAGAAGUCAUCAGCCUGUUGUUGCCACGGGUCAACUUUAAAGCUGGAGUCAUCAGGUCAAGAGUGGCUCUCCAAGCCGAGGAGACAUGAUUUUAUUUUAGGGCUACUUUCUGCUGACUUCGACUAGAAAAAUGUAGUGAUACCAUCACCUGUUGCUGUCAAAGAGCUAACAGUAUGAGGGAAUGAUAUGGAAACGUAUAGAUGUGGUAUUCAGGGACAUGGUUUAGCAGGCAAUAUUGGUGGUAGGUGGAUGGUUGGACUAGAUGAUCUUAGAGGUCUUUUCCAACUAUAAUCAUCCUAAGAUUCUAUUCUAUGACAUUCAGGAAUUUAGAGACUGGCCUCAUGCUUUUCAGUUCAAUCCAAAGAUGCCCAGAGACAAGCAGACGAGCUCAUAGGGCUUCCUAGGCAGGCUUUUCCUUCCUAUUACUGCUGGCUGCACUACUGGCACUGGGUUAAAGCACUGUAGUCAUCAAGAAGCAGCAAACAGGAUCCUUCAGGAUUUCUGUUUAUUUUUUAAUAUGUGUUUGGGUGAGUUCUGACCAUCAGGAUUUGUACGUUCAGCUUCUCCUGCAGCGCCAUUUAUUGUGCAUGUGAGUGACCCUAGCAGUGGCUGUGGCGCCAUCGCUCUGCGCUUUCCUCUGGUGGUGACUCCUCUGCAGCCCCACUCCCUCAGCCCUGUAUCUCUCUGCAGCACAAAAAGCCAAUGUAGUUGAACGCUCUGGGGCUGUUUUCAUGUUGAUAAGCUGCAGGUAGGGUGGGACCUUUCCGCUGCUUUUUAUCCUACAGUUGGGCCUGUGGAGGGAAGCUGAAUAAUGGAAAUGUUAACAGACCUUUCGUUACACAUCUAUACAUCAUCACUUAAUUUCUUUACUUAUGUCUCCUGUUUAAUUUAUUUAUUUCCCCCCUGAUCAAUAGCAUUCAUCCUACUCAAUGAACAGACUUGAUACCGCUUUUAUGGUGUGAAAAUUACUGUUGCUUUGACUGGCUCCUAUUACCAGGUGACACUGCUCGGCAGAAAACAAUGAAUCUUCCUAUUAUUUGGAAAAUAAAUGUGAUUUAUGGGACUGACAAUCGAUAGUGGUCUGUGUCUUGCAGUCAGAGUGCUUGCUUUCCUGAUAUAAUGCUUUUACCUCUGGAGUGUGAAGGGUGUUUAUCCAGUGCUGCUGAGCUAUUUAUGAUAUAUAUGUAUUAAUCUCUGCUUUUAUCGAGAUUUUUUUCUAAAGGUGACGAUCAAGAAAACAUCUGUUUUUAAAGGUUUGAGGGCUGUUUGGAACAUGGUCGAGCAGGUGUGAAGCUGUGCUGGCAGGGAAGGAUGCA
rnacentral:lncRNA from 1 species